rnacentral:lncRNA from 1 species
UGCCUCUUUCUACCUCAUUCCCUAUCAUUGUUUCUACAUAGGUACUUGCCAACGGGUUCUAACUUUUCUGUGUACCAUGAGAAUAGUAUUUAAGAAUGAGCACUUGACAAUAAUAUUCCUCUUUGGAACCUAGAUGAAUUUAGAUGACUUCAUUUAUCAAGGUCAUGUUUUCUUAAAUUAUUCUUUGGGUAAACUUGGUUGCUGAUGACCUCAAGUAAAAGUCCUGCAGAUAUGGUUCAUACUACACGGGUGCUAAAUGUGCCUGAUCUUGCAAUCCAGGAAUCGUGUUAAGCAGGAGGUAAAUCUUGGGAUGUAAGGCUGAAAUUGAGGCGUGAGGCAAAUUUACAGCCUUUUAAAAGAAGCUCUGAAAAUUGGAAAGAUUCUUAACUGCAAAAGUGAGAAAAAUCACAAUUUUUUUCAUGAUGCAGAAGGUAGUUUCAGUUUUGAAGUGAAAAUGCUUGACUUCAAGUAAUGAUCUCUCAAUAAUUUUUUUCACCCUUGACAGACUAUCCAGAUUGUGCCUUAAUGAAAGGAUUUCAGACGUCUCUCAUUUACUCAGUGUAAUUUAUGUGCAACUAUACUUGCAUGAAGUCUGUUGAGUUUGCUGUAUCUCUAGUGUGAAACAAACCCACUCUCAUAUAGAGAAAAAAUGCUAAACUCUUAAAAUUAGUGUUGUUGUUUAUUGCUAUUUCGUUUGUCUUAUCCCAUAAGCAAUCCUUAAUUUCAUUUUCCUAUUCUUUGAUCUUUACAGUCUGAACAGGAAAUCUCAUUUUACUUCAACGCCACCAUGUUGGCAUACUUCGUGGGACUUCUUGUUACUGUAGGUGUAAUGCACACGUUCAACCAUGCUCAGCCAGCAUACUGUAUUUAGUUCCUGCCUGUCUUGGAACUCCACUAUUCUUAGCAUUAAUCAGAGGAGAUUUCUCUGCACUCAUAGCAUACUCAGAUUAUCCUACAGAAGAAAAGGAAGCUAGUGAGAAAGAAGUUACUACGAAAAGCAGCGAAACAAAAUCGUCAAAACAAACUAAAAACACUGAUGGUUCCAAGAGCAAAACAAAUUAGUGUUAAAUGUGGAUGAAGCUACCACAGGACAAUGGUGUGCUCUACUCUGCUUACACAAUAUAUACUAUAAAAAAUAGCACAUUUCUGAAUGACGCACACCUUAUGUUUCCAAUACCCUCAUGAACAAAACUACCUGCAUCGAAAGUUCAGUUUUGCCUAGUAUUUUUUCUAUAAUUUUCUUGCGUUCACCCUUCCUUUCCUAGAAUGAAUCUUCCUUUGUAUGUUCGUAUCUUUCUCCACCGUUGAAGAUGACAGCCGUUUCGCGGUUGACCAACCUUUUUUCCCGCCUCAAACAAUUCUGUAAUGUACGUAUUCUCUCUCGAUUUAUUCGGCUUUAAUGUUCCUCUUCCUUUUCUUUACCUCUGACCUUUGAAGUCAAAAUUAUUGUGCUUAAGGGCUUCCAAAUUUUUCUUUUCCAAUGUUUGGUUUCGUUCUUAAGAAAAAUUUCUCACCUCAAUUCAUAAACAACUUAAUUUCAGGUAUGUUAUUGUGAAAAUUUCUUGAAUUAUUGUUUUAAUUGUUUUGUACUCAUUGCUGUUCACUUGUUCUGAGUAUUGAGACUAUCAUCGACUAAGUAUCAUCUAAUUUUGUUUUGAUUAUCGUCAAAGCCUCUGUGAUCGAUACAACUACACUUAAUAGGAUUCUGUAUAGAUUUUCUGCAAAAAAUCCUGAAAAAAUCCUUUUGAAGAUAAGUUCUAUGUAAAGUAAUUUUUAGAGCUCUGCUAGUCUGAACAGGUCUAAACAGGUUGGGAACAAGAGAUUUCAAGGAGGGCAGUCUUGUAUUUUAUUAUUGAUUUAUUAGUUCUACUCUUUCAAGAAAAAUUCAGUUUAUAGUCUGCCUCGCCCUUACACGUCCUAUUUCAUAAGUCAAUAGAUUUGUCAGUUACAAGUUUUUUCAUUUUUUAUUUCAGUCGACACUCUAAUUUUUUUUUUUUUGUAUUUUUAAGAAGAUUUCUGUUCACCCCUUUUUUUCUGCAGUGAAUUAUUAUGGUUUGUUUUAUCAAAACAACGUCAGGAUUUAAUGCAGGAUUUUCACUCAAGUACUUAACUUUGAAUGGUGA